GCGCGAGUGGCGGAAUGGUAGACGCGCCAGCUUGAGGUGCUGGUGGGUAACACUGUGGGGGUUCGAAUCCCCCCUCGCGCA
rnacentral:tRNA from 1 species